GCACAAGCGGUGGAGCAUGUGGUUUAAUUCGACGCAACGCGAAGAACCUUACCAGCUCUUGACAUGCCCGGUAUGGAAUGGAGAAAUCUGUUUCUUCAGUUCGGCUGGCCGGUGCACAGGUGCUGCAUGGCUGUCGUCAGCUCGUGUCGUGAGAUGUUGGGUUAAGUCCCGCAACGAGCGCAACCCUCACCUUUAGUUGCCAUCAGGUUAUGCUGGGCACUCUAAAGGAACUGCCGGUGACAAGCCGGAGGAAGGCGGGGAUGACGUCAAGUCCUCAUGGCCUUUAUGGGCUGGGCUACACACGUGCUACAAUGGCGGUGACAGUGGGACGCGAAGACGCAAGUCUUGGCCAAUCUCAAAAAGCCGUCUCAGUUCGGAUUGUCCUCUGCAACUCGAGGGCAUGAAGCUGGAAUCGCUAGUAAUCGCGGAUCAGCACGCCGCGGUGAAUACGUUCCCGGGC
rnacentral:rRNA from 1 species